GACUUGGUGGUGUAUGGUAACACACCUGUUGCACAUGACGCAGAGCCAGAUUAUUCGGCAGGAGAGCCCCGUUCGAUUCGGGGCCAGGUCA